GGCGGGAGGAUCUUGAGACCUGAUUGAAAUUGAGACCAGCCAUGCAUGUAUAAGUGCACUCGAUCGGUACAGUGAAACUGAUAAUGGCUUAUUAAAUCAGUUAUGGUUCCUUUGACCGCGGUCAAGACAUUACUUGGAAAACUGUGGCAAUUCCACCGUUAAUACCAAUACCGAUUCCUGAGAGGGAGCCUGAGAAACGACUACCACAUCCAAAGAGGGCAGCAGGCGCUCAAAUGACCCAUUCCCGACACAGGGAGGUAGUGACAAAAAAUAACGAUGCAGAUCUUUUUCGAGGCCCUGCAACUGUAAUGAGCACUCAUGGGGCGAGGUCCCAUCGGUGGGUGAGUCUGGUAUCAGCAGCCACGAUAAUUCCAGCUCCGAUAGGGUAUAUUAAACUUGCUGCAGUUAAAAAAGCUCGUAGUCGGAUCUCGGGGCCGGGCCGGCGGUCCGCCGCGAGGCGAGCCACCGCCGGUGACGUCCGGCCCCUGCCUCUCCCGGCGCCCCCCGGAUGCCCUUGGCUGGGUGUCCGGUCCCACGGGGCCCGGAGCGUUUACUUUGAGAAAAUUAGAGUGUUCAAAGCAGGUCGCCCGUCGCCUCUGAAUACUGCAGCUAGGAAUGAUGGAAUAGGACUUCAGUUCUAUUUUGUGGGUUUCAUGAACCCGGGGCCAUGAUUGAGAGGGACGGCCGGGGGCAUUCGUAUUGCGCCGCUAGAGGUGAAAUUCUUGGACCGGCGCAAGACGGACGAGAGCGAAAGCAUUUGCCAAGAAUGUUUUCAUUAAUCAAGAACGAAAGUCGGAGGUUCGAAGACGAUCAGAUACCGUCGUAGUUCCGACCGUAAACCGUGCCGACCCGCGAUCCGGCGGCGUCCUACCCAUGACCCGCCGGGCAGCGUGGAGGGAAACCAAGAGUCUUUUGGUUCCGGGGGGACUAUGUUUGCAAAGCUGAAACUUAAAGGAAUUGACGGAAGGGCACCACCAGGGGUGGAGCCUGCAGCUUAAUUUGACUCAACACGGGAAAGCUCACCCGACCCGAACACGGAAAAGAUUGAAGGCUGUUUCUCGAUUCUGUGGGUGGUGGUGGAGCGAUUUGUCAUUCUGAUAACGUAUGAGACACCGGUCUGCUAAAUAGGUAUGCGGCCCCGAGCGGCCGGCGUACCCAACAUCUUAGAGGGACAAGUGCUGCAGUAGCCACCCAAGAUGGAGCAAUAACAGGUCUGUGAUGCCCUUAGAUGUCCGGGGCUGCACGCGCGCCACAAUGGGCGGCUCAGCAUGAGCAUGAACCUCAAAAAAAAAAAAAUGAUGGCACAUUCGCUGAUGUAACGUGCAAAAUGAUGGUUUAUUUACAGUGUACGAGAGUGAAAACCAAGAUAAACCAAAACCCAGCAAAGUAACAAAACAACUAAAAAUAAAAGACUUUGUUUUCAAAACAUGCUUUACAUUUAAUCACAAGAUAAAGUUAAUUUACAGUAGUUUAAAUAAAUGAAAUUCUAACAAUGAUUUUAUAGUUGAUCAUUAAAUCUAUUAUAC
rnacentral:rRNA from 1 species